GAUAAACGCUGGCGGCGUGCUUAACACAUGCAAGUCGAACGAAGUUUUUCUUUCGGGAGGAACUUAGUGGCGGACGGGUGAGUAACGCGUGGGUAACCUGCCCUGUACAGGGGGACAACAGCUGGAAACGGCUGCUAAUACCGCAUAAGCCCUUAGCACUGCAUGGUGCAUAGGGAAAAGGAGCAAGCCGGGACAGGAUGGAGCCGCGUCUGAUUAACCAGUUGGCAGGGUAACGGCCUACCAAAGCGACGAUCAGUAGCCGAUCUGAGAGGAUGUGCGGCGACAUUGGGACGGAGACACGGCCCAGACUCCUACGGGAGGCAGCAGUGGGGGAUAUAGCACAAUGGAGGAAACUCUGAUGGAGCGACGCCGCGUGAGUGAAGAAGUAUUGCGGUAUGUAAAGCUCUAUCAGCAGGAAAGAAAAUGACGGUACCUGACUAAGAAGCACCGGCUAAAUACGUG
rnacentral:rRNA from 1 species